GAGGCUCCUAUCUACUGGCCAAGCCCAUUCUCUGAAAGCCUGACUGUGUCAUUUGAUGCUGCUGGAGGACUCUCUCAGGGACAGUGCAGCACUCCUACUCUUACAGACAUCCAUCGUUACUAGUUGGAAGAUGAACCUACACUAAAACUCAAAAUAAUUGUUUCAAUAAGCAAGGAAAUUGUCGCAACCGGUUUUAAAGCAGGACUUCUUGCUUCCAGGAUGAAGCCUCCGAGAAGUUUGUACCUGAAAGAGAGCAUUGUUUACCCUAUUGAACUCUAAUCAGUGAGGCUUGAUUUGGUGAAGGAACUGCAAGCAAAAGUGUCAUGUAAUCUCUCCCAAAGGAAGAUUUAAGAGCUGAUACAAAUACAUUUGAUACUGUAAAAUAUCAAUACACAGAAACAGCCUAACUAUGAUAACUCCUACUUUGAGGCAAGAAGCAUAUAAAACAUAUAGAGGGAAGAAUGUAAGGAAAAA